CGGUAAGUCCGCUAACGAGCGCAACCCUCGCUGUGUGUUAUAUGUGUCACACGGGACUGCCGGUCUUAAGCCGGAGGAAGGUGGGGAUGAUGUCAAGUCAGCAUGGCCUUUAUAUCCUGGGCUACACACACGCUACAAUGGCCAACACAAUAGGUUGCUAAGCCGCGAGGUGGCGCCAAUCCAUAAAGUUGGUCUCAGUUCAGAUUGUAGGCUGCAACCCGCCUGCAUGAAGAUGGAGUUGCUAGUAACCGCAGGUCAGCUAUACUGCGGUGAAUACGUUCCCGGGGCUU
rnacentral:rRNA from 1 species